CACGGAUCUAUUUACUCAAAUGCUUUGAGAUCACUGUAUCCUGACUCCUCCUUGCCUGUCUCAAAUGCUUUGAGAUCACUGUAUCCUGACUCCUUCUUGCCUGUCUCACGGAACAGCCUCACCUUUUUCUCACACCAGUUGAAUUUGGAAGGAGUUUUAAGGACCACAUCUGCAAGCAUUUCUUCUCACCAGACUUGGAGGAAAUAGUGUUCUCUUUCUGUCAUAGGCAGAAUCAUCUGUCCCUGGUUUCCUAUCACUCUCUGAUAAAUGAUUGAGUUUUUAUUUUCUCCCCCUUUCCCACAAUGGAAUAUAAAUCUUCCAUGAUAAGCAUUCAUACCUGUUUUGUUUACUGCAGAUGUGGGAAGAUAAAGGUCAGAGAUGAUAGCAAGAUCUUUGGCCUGAGCCCUAGGAGGAUGGAGCUGCCUCUGAGUGGAGGAGUAAGGUCAUUGGUGGAACAUGUUUGGAGGAGAAGGUCAAGAGUGAUGAGAAAAUACAAGAUGCCCAAAAAAGUAAUUGUCAAGAGUAAGGAAGUCCAAGAACAGAGCUGUGGGACACUUCAAGGUCAGGAGAGCUUCUGGCUGAUAGAUUACUAUGGCCAACAUGAGUGUUUCAGUCAAGCAAGGAGCAUCGUCUGCAUCCAGUGCCUGCUGGUAAGUCACAUAAAAUGACAAGAGAAUUAACUAUUGCAUUUGGCAUCAUGAGGAGUCCAUCUUGAUGACUGGGCUAGGUACAGUGGAGGGGAUUAGUGCGAGAUUGGAG
rnacentral:lncRNA from 1 species